rnacentral:ncRNA from 1 species
UAAAGGCACUUUACAUAUAGCUUAGUUGGUCGUUAUAGGGCAUAAUGCCCUACAACGUAGCGGUGUCAUAUGACUGAAAUUCAGUAAAUGUAAUUUUCUGUUUUUCAAUCAUGUGACACUAUAAUCGCUAUCCCAUAAUUUUAUUAGGGAAUGGGACUCUUCACCGAGGUUGUAAAAUGAGACAAACAAUUUUAGCUGUAU